rnacentral:rRNA from 1 species
GCGGGAAAAGCUCAAAUUUGUAAUCUGGCGUCUUCGACGUCCGAGUUGUAAUCUCGAGAAGUGUUUUCCGUGAUAGACCGCAUACAAGUCUCUUGGAACAGAGCGUCAUAGUGGUGAGAACCCAGUACACGAUGCGGAUGCCUAUUACUUUGUGAUACACUUUCGAAGAGUCGAGUUGUUUGGGAAUGCAGCUCAAAUUGGGUGGUAAAUUCCAUCUAAAGCUAAAUAUUGGCGAGAGACCGAUAGCGAACAAGUACCGUGAGGGAAAGAUGAAAAGCACUUUGGAAAGAGAGUUAACAGUACGUGAAAUUGUUGGAAGGGAAACACAUGCAGUGAUACUUGCUAUUCGGGGCAACUCGAUUGGCAGGCCCGCAUCAGUUUUUCGGGGCGGAAAAUCGUAGAGAGAAGGUAGCAGUUUCGGCUGUGUUAUAGCUCUUUACUGGAUUCGCCCUGGGGGACUGAGGAACGCAGCGUGCUUUUAGCAUGAGCUUCGGCUUAUCCACGCUUAGGAUGCGGGUUUAUGGCUGUAUAUGAC